CUUUAGCUGAUAUCCUUUUGGCAGGAUUGUAUACAAGCAUUUGCUAGAUGAAAAAUAAAACACUUCAUUAGCUACACAUCCUCAAAUGUACCUCUAACAAAUCAAGUCCAUUGUUGUCCAGUUGAGGAACUGCUUUCCUCAGCCCUUCUCCACUCCAUCUUGGAAAGUUUGGUUUAUAGUCUGGCAGCUGGGAUACUCCUGGCCAAGUCUUCUCUGUUGGAGUACCUAGGAUUCUA